rnacentral:rRNA from 1 species
GAAACAUCUUAGUACCCGGAGGAAGAGAAAGAAAAUUCGAUUCCCUUAGUAGCGGCGAGCGAAACGGGAAGAGCCCAAACCAACAAGCUUGCUUGUUGGGGUUGUAGGACACUCUAUACGGAGUUACAAAGGACGACAUUAGACGAAUCAUCUGGAAAGAUGAAUCAAAGAAGGUAAUAAUCCUGUAGUCGAAAAUGUUGUCUCUCUUGAGUGGAUCCUGAGUACGACGGAGCACGUGAAAUUCCGUCGGAAUCUGGGAGGACCAUCUCCUAAGGCUAAAUACUCUCUAGUGACCGAUAGUGAACCAGUACCGUGAGGGAAAGGUGAAAAGCACCCCGGAAGGGGAGUGAAAUAGAACCUGAAACCGUGUGCUUACAAGUAGUCAGAGCCCGUUAAUGGGUGAUGGCGUGCCUUUUGUAGAAUGAACCGGCGAGUUACGAUUUGAUGCAAGGUUAAGCAGUAAAUGUGGAGCCGUAGCGAAAGCGAGUCUGAAUAGGGCGUUUAGUAUUUGGUCGUAGACCCGAAACCAGGUGAUCUACCCUUGGUCAGGUUGAAGUUCAGGUAACACUGAAUGGAGGACCGAACCGACUUACGUUGAAAAGUGAGCGGAUGAACUGAGGGUAGCGGAGAAAUUCCAAUCGAACCUGGAGAUAGCUGGUUCUCUCCGAAAUAGCUUUAGGGCUAGCCUCAAGUGAUGAUUAUUGGAGGUAGAGCACUGUUUGGACGAGGGGCCCCUCUCGGGUUACCGAAUUCAGACAAACUCCGAAUGCCAAUUAAUUUAACUUGGGAGUCAGAACAUGGGUGAUAAGGUCCUUGUUCGAAAGGGAAACAGCCCAGACCACCAGCUAAGGUCCCAAAAUAUAUGUUAAGUGGAAAAGGAUGUGGCGUUGCCCAGACAACUAGGAUGUUGGCUUAGAAGCAGCCAUCAUUUAAAGAGUGCGUAAUAGCUCACUAGUCGAGUGACACUGCGCCGAAAAUGUACCGGGGCUAAACAUAUUACCGAAGCUGUGGAUUGUCCUUUGGACAAUGGUAGGAGAGCGUUCUAAGGGCGUUGAAGCAUGAUCGUAAGGACAUGUGGAGCGCUUAGAAGUGAGAAUGCCGGUGUGAGUAGCGAAAGACGGGUGAGAAUCCCGUCCACCGAUUGACUAAGGUUUCCAGAGGAAGGCUCGUCCGCUCUGGGUUAGUCGGGUCCUAAGCUGAGGCCGACAGGCGUAGGCGAUGGAUAACAGGUUGAUAUUCCUGUACCACCUAUAAUCGUUUUAAUCGAUGGGGGGACGCAGUAGGAUAGGCGAAGCGUGCGAUUGGAUUGCACGUCUAAGCAGUAAGGCUGAGUAUUAGGCAAAUCCGGUACUCGUUAAGGCUGAGC